rnacentral:rRNA from 1 species
GUGGGGAUGUUGCACAAUGGGCAGCAAGCCUGAUGCAGCGACGCCGCAUGAGGGAUGAAGGCCUCGGGUUGUAAACCUCUUUCAGCAGGGAAGAAGCGCAAGUGACGGUACCAGCAGAAGAAGCACCGGCUAACUACGUGCCAGCAGUCGUGGUAAUACGUAGGGCGCAAGCGUUGUCCGGAAUUAUUGGGCGUAAAGAGCUCGUAGGCGGUUUGUCGCGUCUGCUGUGAAAACUCGAGGCUCAACCUCGGGCUUGCAGUGGGUACGGGCAGACUAGAGUGCGGUAGGGGAGACUGGAAUUCCUGGUGUAGCGGUGGAAUGCGCAGAUAUCAGGAGGAACACCGAUGGCGAAGGCAGGUCUCUGGGCCGCAACUGACGCUGAGGAGCGAAAGCAUGGGGAGCGAACAGGAUUAGAUACCCUGGUAGUCCAUGCCGUAAACGUUGGGCACUAGGUGUGGGGCUCAUUCCACGAGUUCCGUGCCGCAGCAAACGCAUUAAGUGCCCCGCCUGGGGAGUACGGCCGCAAGGCUAAAACUCAAAGAAAUUGACGGGGGCCCGCACAAGCGGCGGAGCAUGCGGAUUAAUUCGAUGCAACGCGAAGAACCUUACCAAGGCUUGACAUACACCGGAAACUUCCAGAGAUGGUUGCCCCGCAAGGUCGGUGUACAGGUGGUGCAUGGUUGUCGUCAGCUCGUGUCGUGAGAUGUUGGGUUAAGUCCCGCAACGAGCGCAACCCUCGUCCUAUGUUGCCAGCGGGUCAUGCCGGGGACUCAUAGGAGACUGCCGGGGUCAACUCGGAGGAAGG